CCUACGGGUGGCAGCAGUGAGGAAUAUUGGUCAAUGGACGAGAGUCUGAACCAGCCAAGUAGCGUGAAGGAUGACUGCCCUAUGGGUUGUAAACUUCUUUUAUAUGGGAAUAAAAUGAUCCACGUGUGGGAUACCGUAGGUACUAUAGGAAUAAGGAUCGGCUAACUCCGUGCCAGCAGCCGCGGUAAUACGGAGGAUCCGAGCGUUAUCCGGAUUUAUUGGGUUUAAAGGGAGCGUAGGUGGGUUGUUAAGUCAGUUGUGAAAGUUUGCGGCUCAACCGUAAGAUUGCAGUUGAAACUGGCAGUCUUGAGUACUGUAGAGGUAGGCGGAAUUCGUGGUGUAGCGGUGAGAUGCUUAGAUAUCACGAAGAACUCCGAUUGCGAAGGCAGUUCACUGGACUGCAACUGACGCUGAGGCUCGAAAGUGUGGGUAUCAAACAGGAUUAGAUACCCCAGUAGUC
rnacentral:rRNA from 1 species